rnacentral:rRNA from 1 species
UACGUAGGGGGCAAGCGUUGUCCGGAUUUAUUGGGCGUAAAGAGCGUGUAGGCGGCCAUACAGGUCAGCUGUGAAAACUCGAGGCUCAACCUCGAGACGUCGGUUGAAACCGUAUGGCUAGAGUCCGGAAGAGGAGAGUGGAAUUCCCGGUGUAGCGGUGAAAUGCGCAGAUAUCGGGAAGAACACCCGUGGCGAAGGCGCCGCCCUGGGCCGAAACUGACGCUGAGGAGCGAAAGCGUGGGGAGCGAACAGG